CUUUGUUGAUAUUGCCAGUAGUCAUAUGCUUGUCUCAAAGAUUAAGCCAUGCAUGUGUAAGUAUGAACUAAUUCAGACUUUGAAAAUGCGAAUGGCUCAUUAAAUCAGUUAUAGUUUGUUUGAUGGUAUUUGCUACUCGGAUAACUGAGUAAUUCUAGAGCUAAUACGUGCAACAAACCUCGACUUCUGAAAGGGACGCAUUUAUUAGAUAAAAGGUCGACGUGGGCUCUGAUCGUUGCUCUGAUGAUUCAUGAUAACUCGACGGAUCGCACGACCAUCGUGUUGGCGACGCAUCAUUCAAAUUUUUGCCUUAUCAACUUUCGAUGGUAAGAUAGAGGCCUACCAUGGUGGUGACAGCUGAUGGAGAAUUAGGGUUCGAUUUCGGAGAGGAGCCUCAAAAAUGGCUACCACAUCUAAGGAAGGCAGCAGGAGCGCAAAUUACCCAAUCUUGACACGGGGAGGUAGUGCCAAUAAAUAACAUUAUCGGGCUCUUCGAGUCUAGUAAUUGGAAUGAGUACAAUCUAAAUCCCUUAGCGAGGAUCCAUUGGAGGGCAAGUCUGGUGCCAACAGCCGCGUUAAUUCCAGCUCUAAUAGUGUAUAUUUAAGUUGUUGCAAUUAAAAAGCUCGUAGUUGGACUUUGGGUUGGGUCGGCCGGUACGCCUCAGGUGUGCACCGGUCGCCUUGUCUCUUCUACUAGCGAUGCGCUCCUGGCCUUAAUUGGCUGGGUCGUGCCUCCGAUGCUCUUAUUUUGAAGAGAUUAGAGUGCUCAAAGCAAACCUAUGCUCUGGAUACAUUAGCAUGGGAUAACAUCAUAGGAUUUCGAUCCUAUUGUGUUGGCAUUCAGGAUCAGAGUAAUGAUUAACAGGGACAGUCGGGGGCAUUCAUAUUUCAUAGUCAGAGGUGAAAUUCUUGGAUUUAUGAAAGAUGAACAACUGCGAAAGCAUUUGCCAAUAAUGUUUUCAUUAAUCAAGAACAAAAGUUGGGGACUCGAAGACGAUCAUAUACCAUCCUAGUCUCAACCAUAAACGAUGCCGACCAGGGAUUGGCGGAUGUUGCUUCUAGGAGUCCGCCAGCACCUCAUGAGAAAUCAAAUUUUUUAGGUUCUAGGGGGAGCAUGGUGGCAAGGCUGAAACUUAAAGGAAUUGACGGAAGGGCACUACCAGGAGUGGAGCCCGCAGCUUAAUUUGACUCAACACAGGGAAACUUACCAGGUCCAAAUAUAGUAAGGAUUAACAGAUUGAGAGCUCUUUCUUUUUUGAUCAAAUGUAAGAAAUUUUAUAGUUCAAAUGAAACAAGGCUGGUGUAAAUCCCGAGAAAAGAAAAAAGAAAAAAAGGGCUGGAUUAAAUUAAAGGAAAUAAACUAAACUAAAAAGAAGUGGGGGCAAAAGGAAUACACUUAAAGAAAAUGGGGCCUAAAUGCAAAUAAGAAUAAUUAUAGAGCAUAGGUACUUCUCUUCUCACCAAAAACAGAUCUGCAGAUAAAGUAAAGAACGAAAAGAGGGAGUUUUUAUAUUCAUUUUUACAAAUCAAGAGAGAAACACCAAAAUUUCAAAAAAAACCCAUCCAAGAUUAAGG
rnacentral:rRNA from 1 species